rnacentral:rRNA from 1 species
UACGGGGGGGGCAAGCGUUGUUCGGAAUUACUGGGCGUAAAGGGCUCGUAGGCGGCCAACUAAGUCAGACGUGAAAUCCCUCGGCUUAACCGGGGAACUGCGUCUGAUACUGGAUGGCUUGAAUCCGGGAGAGGGAUGCAGAAUUCCAGGUGUAGAGGUGAAAUUCGUAGAUAUUCGGAGGAACACCAGUGGCGAAGGCGGCUCACUGGCUCGGUACUGACGCUGAGGUGCGAAAGCGUGGGGAGCAAACAGG